rnacentral:rRNA from 1 species
UACGUAGGUGGCAAGCGUUGUCCGGAUUUAUUGGGCGUAAAGCGAGCGCAGGCGGAAUGAUAAGUCUGAUGUGAAAGCCCACGGCUCAACUGUGGAACUGCAUCGGAAACUGUCAUUCUUGAGUGCAGAAGAGGAGAGUGGAACUCCAUGUGUAGCGGUGGAAUGCGUAGAUAUAUGGAAGAACACCAGUGGCGAAGGCGGCUCUCUGGUCUGCAACUGACGCUGAGGCUCGAAAGCAUGGGUAGCGAAC